rnacentral:rRNA from 1 species
UAUGUGAUCGUCUCUCGCAUAUCAAUAAGCGGAGGAAAAGAAACUAACAAGGAUUCCCUUAGUAACGGCGAGUGAAGCGGGAAGAGCUCAAAUUUGAAAUCUUCAAGGUUUUACCUUGACGAAUUGUAGUUUAAAGAAGUGUUUUCUGUUGAAGUUUUGGUAAAAGUUCUUUGGAAUAGGACAUCAUAGAGGGUGAGAAUCCCGUAUUUGACCAUUAUUUUCAGCUGUGUGAUACACUUUCAAAGAGUCGGAUUGUUUGGGAAUGCAGUCCAAAAUGGGUGGUAAAUUUCAUCUAAAGCUAAAUAUUGGCGAGAGACCGAUAGCGAACAGGUACCGUGAGGGAAAGAUGAAAAGAACUUUGAAAAGAGAGUUAAACAGUACGUGAAAUUGUCAAAAGGGAAGCGUUUGACACCAGUGUUGUUUUCUCGAAAAUCAAUUAAAAAGAGUUAGAUUUUGUUGUGUAUUGACCUUAACAGCUUGCAUUUCAAUUUUCUUGCUUUUUUUAAUGCACUUUUCGUUUAACAAGUCAACAUCAGUUUCUUUUGUUGUAAAAAGGUCAUUGGAAGGUGGCUUUCUUUUCGGAGAAAGUGUUUAUAGCCUUUGACUCCUGCAAUCGGAGAGACUGAGGUCUGCAGCGUAGAUCCUUCGGGGUUAGAUACAUUUGUGCUAAGUUAUAGCUUUUUAUAGACAACUUGUUGACUAUGAUUAGUCUUGUAGCUUACUCGCUUAUGCUAUUUUACCUACGCUUAGGAUGUUGAAGAUGUAGCACAUCAU